rnacentral:rRNA from 1 species
CCCUACACAUGCAGUCGAACGGUAACAGGAAGCAGCUUGCUGCUUCGCUGACGAGUGGCGGACGGGUGAGUAAUGUCUGGGAAACUGCCUGAUGGAGGGGGAUAACUACUGGAAACGGUAGCUAAUACCGCAUAAUGUCGCAAGACCAAAGAGGGGGACCUUCGGGCCUCUUGCCAUCGGAUGUGCCCAGAUGGGAUUAGCUAGUAGGUGGGGUAACGGCUCACCUAGGCGACGAUCCCUAGCUGGUCUGAGAGGAUGACCAGCCACACUGGAACUGAGACACGGUCCAGACUCCUACGGGAGGCAGCAGUGGGGAAUAUUGCACAAUGGGCGCAAGCCUGAUGCAGCCAUGCCGCGUGUGUGAAGAAGGCCUUCGGGUUGUAAAGCACUUUCAGCGGGGAGGAAGGCGGUAAGGUUAAUAACCUUGCCGAUUGACGUUACCCGCAGAAGAAGCACCGGCUAACUCCGUGCCAGCAGCCGCGGUAAUACGGAGGGUGCAAGCGUUAAUCGGAAUUACUGGGCGUAAAGCGCACGCAGGCGGUCUGUCAAGUCGGAUGUGAAAUCCCCGGGCUCAACCUGGGAACUGCAUUCGAAACUGGCAGGCUAGAGUCUUGUAGAGGGGGGUAGAAUUCCAGGUGUAGCGGUGAAAUGCGUAGAGAUCUGGAGGAAUACCGGUGGCGAAGGCGGCCCCCUGGACAAAGACUGACGCUCAGGUGCGAAAGCGUGGGGAGCAAACAGGAUUAGAUACCCUGGUAGUCCACGCCGUAAACGAUGUCGACUUGGAGGUUGUGCCCUUGAGGCGUGGCUUCCGGAGCUAACGCGUUAAGUCGACCGCCUGGGGAGUACGGCCGCAAGGUUAAAACUCAAAUGAAUUGACGGGGGCCCGCACAAGCGGUGGAGCAUGUGGUUUAAUUCGAUGCAACGCGAAGAACCUUACCUACUCUUGACAUCCAGAGAACUUAGCAGAGAUGGAUUGUGCCUUCGGGAACUCUGAGACAGGUGCUGCAUGGCUGUCGUCAGCUCGUGUUGUGAAAUGUUGGGUUAAGUCCCGCAACGAGCGCAACCCUUAUCCUUUGUUGCCAGCGGUCCGGCCGGGAACUCAAAGGAGACUGCCAGUGAUAAACUGGAGGAAGGUGGGGAUGACGUCAAGUCAUCAUGGCCCUUACGAGUAGGGCUACACACGUGCUACAAUGGCGCAUACAAAGAGAAGCGACCUCGCGAGAGCAAGCGGACCUCAUAAAGUGCGUCGUAGUCCGGAUUGGAGUCUGCAACUCGACUCCAUGAAGUCGGAAUCGCUAGUAAUCGUAGAUCAGAAUGCUACGGUGAAUACGUUCCCGGGCCUUGUACACACCGCCCGUCACACCAUGGGAGUGGGUUGCAAAAGAAGUAGGUAGCUUAACCUU